GUGCAGAAGCAGCAAAAUGCUGUGGCAGACUCAGCUCCUCUGGCUCCUCGUGCUCUGGGCGCAGGGCUCCAGCGGGGACAUUGUUGUGACUCAGACUCCAGAGUCCCUGUCCGUGUCCCCAGGAGACACAGUCACCAUCAAGUGCAAAACCAGCUCCAGUGUUAGCAGCAGCAUGGCCUUGUACCAGCAGAAACCAGGGCAGGCUCCUAAGCUCCUUCUCUACAACACAAACACCCGCCCCUCGGGAAUCCCUGACCGGUUCAGUGGCAGUGCGUCUGGCACCGACUUUACAUUCACCAUCAGCCACGUGGAAGCUGGAGAUGCUGGAGAUUAUUACUGUCAGCAGGGUAACAGCUUGCCUCGCACAGUGCUACAGCCCCGUACAAAAACCUCCCUGCUCUGCUCAGUCCUGCUGCUCCCGGCACCAGCUGCUUCCUGCCCAGCCACAGGCCAGGGACUCUCGUGCCCCGUCACAGCAGGGCAGGGGGCUGGUCACAGUCACGCACUUGCCCCAUCCGUCCUCCCCGCAGACACGGAGCUCAGCUGUGAUCUAGCACACGUUGCGCAGCACUCGGGUGUUGGCACAGGAUCCUGAAGGCUCAUUUUUGAUUGCAGGCAGAUGCAGUUCAUCCCUGAGCCCAGGGCACACGACUUGUCUCUCAAGACAAGGUUAACGCCUGCCCUGGGACGGAGGUCCUGG